UAGCGUUUAAAUUUACCAAUGCUAUUCUUUACUAAUAUCAAGCUACUUAUUUCAUCAUAGGUCCGGCCGGAUUACUAGAUGUAGCUAGGAGUUGUUCUUUAGUUCAUUUUAGUUUCUAUAUUGUCUGUGAUUCGCAUUGACUGGCCGGUCACUGGAUUCAUGCGGAUUCAUUCAAUUCAAGAUGGCAGAAAAAACAAGGAUAACUUUUAAAAGACUUCUGUUUGUUAUUAGAUUCCUUUUUGAAUAGUUUGUGUUCCUUAUAAAAGUAUUUUACUUCAAACUUCCUGAGUGUCUUAUUUUCAGCAUCUUCUAUAGUACCAAGCUAACAUUUCAGAAUUGAGAUGAGUAAGUCUACGCCCACCGCAUCCUGUACUGAUAAUAAUAACGCAAGUACCCCAUCUAAAAAUCGAAAAGUUUUGACGAAGAAAAAAAAGGACACAGAAGUACACACAACUUUGGGAAAAUGAGUUUUCAUGGCUAAGAAAAGACUCAGAAAGUGAUACAAAUGCAAAAUCCAUAAUCUGUGGCGAAGUUUUCUCUCUAUUCCAUCAGCUGGAGUUGUACACGAUAGGAAUAUUUACAUAUUGUAUGAUGAAUAUGAUGAUGAUAAAGAAAACGAUGAUUUAAAUAUGAAGAUAUAAUUGGAAUAAUCAUAAAAUGAGAAUAUGCAUAUAAAAAUCUACAUAAUGAGAAUGGCUGAGGGUCAGCAUUGAUCUAUUAAAUCAAGAUCGUUAAAACACUUUAAUAUAAUUACAAAGAAAAGGCCGAUUUAAUAUGGAGACACAAGAAUAUAAGACAUAAAAUGAAAGGAUUGGAAUACCUACAUUAUGAGAAUAUGGAAAGAAAAUACUUACAUUUUAUACACAUAAUACAAGAAUGUAUUGGAAUAUUAAGAGAAUGGCUGUCUAAAGCUCUAUUAAAUCAAGAUGGUUAACACACUUUAAUAAAAUUACAAAGAAAAUGUUGAUUUAAUAUGAAGACACAAGAAUAUUAGAAUUAAAAUAUAAUAAUUUGAAUACAUUAUGAGAACAUGGAAAGAAACUUACAUUUUAUAUACAUAUAUUAUGAGAAUGGCUGUCUGAACAGUAUUGUCCUAAUAAAUCAAAAUGUUUAACACACUGUUGUUAUUAUAAUAAAUGAUGAUUUAAAUAUAAAAAUACAAGAAUAUUAUAUAUAAAGUAGAAGAAUUGGAAUAUAUUUUGAUACUAAGAUACCUGCAUUAUAAAUAUAUUAUGAGAAUGGAUGACCGAACAGUAUUGUUCCGAUAAAUGAAGUUGAAUGGUAUGCUGAAGUGCAAGCGGUGCUCACACAAGGAUGUGAUUGGUAUGCCGAAGCACAAGCGGUACUCACUGAAUGAUAAUACACACACUUUAAUAUUGUUAUAAUAAAAGGUGAAUGGUAUGCCGAAGUGCAAGCGGUGCUCACACAGGGUUGUGAAUGGUAUGCCGAAGCACAAGCGGUGCUCACCUAAUGAUAAUUAGUAUAUAGUGGCUGGUAUGCCGAAGUGCAAGCGGUGCUCACACUGGGUUGUGAAUGGUAUGCCGAAGCACAAGCGGUACCCACUAUACUAUUUAUCUGAUAAAGAAUUCUGAGGAACAAUGAACAUACAGUGUAGCCGACCAAAAAUUCACCUAGCAACGUUGCAGCGUAGCAGACCAGCGUCAGACCAGCAUUAAGUACAUCAAUAAGAACAGCCGGAAUAUGGUUUACUAAUUACUUAUAGUCUCUUUGAGUUUUGUUUUAAUUAUGAUUGCUAAGUGCAUUUAAUAUCACCGCAUAGAUAUAAUAACUUUAUUAAUUUUGCUAAUUCAUUCAGUUUGUUAACAUAAAUUUAGAACUUGUUAGUUAGCGUUCGAAUGGCCGACAGGGAAUGGGGACAUUCCCAAUAACAGGACGGCCGACUGUUAGCGUUUAAAUUUACCAAUGCUAUUCUUUACUAAUAUCAAGCUACUUAUUUCAUCAUAGGUCCGGCCGGAUUACUAGAUGUAGCUAGGAGUUGUUCUUUAGUUCAUUUUAGUUUCUAUAUUGUCUGUGAUUCGCAUUGACUGGCCGGUCACUGGAUUCAUGCGGAUUCAUUCAAUUCAAGAUGGCAGAAAAAACAAGGAUAACUUUUAAAAGACUUCUGUUUGUUAUUAGAUUCCUUUUUGAAUAGUUUGUGUUCCUUAUAAAAGUAUUUUACUUCAAACUUC